rnacentral:rRNA from 1 species
GACGGGGCCCGCACAAGCGGUGGAUUAUGUGGAUUAAUUCGAUGCAACGCGAAAACCUUACCUACCCUUGACAUGCUAGGAACUUGCCAGAGAUGGCUUGGUGCCCGAAAGGGAACCUAGACACAGGUGCUGCAUGGCUGUCGUCAGCUCGUGUCGUGAGAUGUUGGGUUAAGUCCCGCAACGAGCGCAACCCUUGUCAUUAAUUGCCAUCAUUCAGUUGGGCACUUUAAUGAGACUGCCGGUGACAAACCGGAGGAAGGCGGGGAUGACGUCAAGUCCUCAUGGCCCUUAUGGGUAGGGCUUCACACGUAAUACAAUGGUCGGUACAGAGGGUUGCCAACCCGCGAGGGGGAGCCAAUCCCAGAAAACCGAUCGUAGUCCGGAUUGCAGUCUGCAACUCGACUGCAUGAAGUCGGAAUCGCUAGUAAUCGCGGAUCAGCAUGUCGCGGUGAAUACGUUCCCGGGCCUU